UGAUUUGGUCCAAACUGCUAUGAAGUUUU
rnacentral:piRNA from 1 species